GUCUACAACCAUACCACCCCGAAUGUUCCAGAUCUAGUCUCGUCUCAGAAGCUAAGCAGGGUUGGGCCUGGUUAGUACUCUGAUAGGGGAUGUCCUGCACUUUGUUAUUG
rnacentral:rRNA from 1 species